rnacentral:snRNA from 1 species
AUCCUCACUUCAGCAGCACAUAUACUAAAAAUGGAAUGAUACGGAGAAGAUUAGCAUGGCCCCUGUGCAAGGACAACUUGCAAAUUUGUGAAGUGUUCCAUUAAAAA